rnacentral:rRNA from 1 species
GAGUUUGAUCUUGGCUCAGAUUGAACGCUGGCGGCAUGCCUUACACAUGCAAGUCGAACGGCAGCAUGAUCUAGCUUGCUAGAUUGAUGGCGAGUGGCGAACGGGUGAGUAAUACAUCGGAACGUGCCCUGUAGUGGGGGAUAACUAGUCGAAAGAUUAGCUAAUACCGCAUACGACCUGAGGGUGAAAGUGGGGGACCGCAAGGCCUCAUGCUAUAGGAGCGGCCGAUGUCUGAUUAGCUAGUUGGUGGGGUCAAGGCCCACCAAGGCGACGAUCAGUAGCUGGUCUGAGAGGACGAUCAGCCACACUGGGACUGAGACACGGCCCAGACUCCUACGGGAGGCAGGCAGUGGGGAAUUUUGGACAAUGGGCGAAAGCCUGAUCCAGCAAUGCCGCGUGUGUGAAGAAGG